UACGUAGGGUCCGAGCGUUGUCCGGAGUUACUGGGCGUAAAGCGCUUGUAGGCGGUCCACCAAGUUUGGGGUGACAGUUGCCGACUUAAUCGGCAAAGUGCCUCAAAGACUGGCGGACUUGAGGGCCACAGAGGGACAUGGAACUCCAGGUGUAGUGGUGAAAUGCGUAGAUAUCUGGAAGAACACCAAAGGCGAAGGCAGUGUCCUGGGUGGUCGCUGACGCUGAGAGGCGAAAGCCAGGGGAGCGAACGGG
rnacentral:rRNA from 1 species